AACUCAAAGGAAUUGACGGGGACCCGCACAAGCAGCGGAGCGCGUGGUUUAAUUCGUUGCUACACGAAGAACCUUACCUGGGUUUGACAUAUAGGUUGUAGGGAACUGAAAAGGGACCGACCCUUCGGGGAGCCUAUACAGGUGUUGCAUGGCUGUCGUCAGCUCGUGUCGUGAGAUGUUCGGUUAAGUCCGCUAACGAGCGCAACCCUCGUCGUAUGUUAUAUGUGUCAUACGAGACUGCCGGUAAAAAGCCGGAGGAAGGUGAGGAUGAUGUCAAGUCAGCAUGACCUUUAUAUCCAGGGCUACACACACGCUACAAUGGUCUGUACAAUGGGUAGCCAAGCCGCGAGGCGGAGCCAAUCCUGAAAGCAGGCCUCAGUUCAGAUUGCAGUCUGCAACUCGACUGCAUGAAGCCGGAGUUGCUAGUAACCGCAGGUCAGCAAUACUGCGGUGAAUACGUUCCCGGGUCUU
rnacentral:rRNA from 1 species